rnacentral:lncRNA from 15 species
AACCAGUCGAUAUAAUCCCUCUCUCUCUAUAAUGUUUGUGCAUCUGUACAGUGAACGUGUGUUCAGACAGCCAAUGUCCCAACUGUACAGAGGUUAGCUGUAAGCUAACGACCAACAGACACACUGACUGUGUGUUUGUGUUCAGCUCAGCCUCUGAAUGAACUCCAGUUCUUCUUUUUCUUUUCUCCUCUUUGUCUCUGGACCUUCAUGAGGCAGAUUCAUAAAGCUCUGGGAUAAGUACAAACUUACAGCUCCAGUUGAGAAACUUUCAACCUGCCAUUUCCUUCAACUUUGUACGUAGUCACACUGCCUCUAAAACUCACCUCACAGUCAGGUUUCCAUGUGUUUCAUUGUUGUUGACUGAAUCCCUGAAUUGGUGCAGUUUAUAUUUGCAGUUGUCAGUUGUGCAGAGUCAGAAUGUAAGAUUCUGAUGUUUAAAAUCUUUGGUGAAAGAAUCCAAAUCAAAUUUCUGUUGGCUUAAAUUGUUACAGUUGUCACAUACUGGUUGAACUGGUCAUCUCCCAGUGUGACUCUGUGGAUCUGUGUAACAAAUCAGGCUUCAAAAUCUUACAGGAAGAUAGUAACUAUUGAUUGUUCAUCUUUCCAACAGCACUGCAGGAUGGAAACAUUCGUCUAAUCAAUGCAGAAAUCCUCGUCCGUACAGGAAGUAAAGGAGGAAACAUCACAGUUAAAUGCUCCUUCUCUUUCUCUGGAAGCAGGAAGAUCUUCUGUAAGAGAAAAUGUGAAGGAAAAGACAUUCUCAUUGAAACAGAUGAGAACAGAGCUCAGAGUGGCAGAUACAGCAUUGAAUAUAAAGAAGGAUUAUCCAAUAUCUUACACUUCUGUAUGUGAGCAUCACAAACCUGACUAAGUCUGACUCGGGGCGGUACAGAUGUUGGUUGGACAGAACUGUGAUAGAUUCAACCGAGGACUUUGAGCUCAGAGUUGAAGAUGCUCCAACCACUUCAAAACCAAAGAGGAAAACCACCACCAAAGCACCUUUUACACCAUCAGUCCCAUCAGCCUCCACACCGACAACAACACAGAGUUUAAGCUCCAGUUCAGGAAGCUCCACACCUUCAUCAUCCUCCCCUGAAACCACCAACCAGCCUGAACAGCAACAGAGAGCUGCAGGUCCAGGUUUGCUGCUGUAUGUGAGUCUGACUCUGGUCGUCAUGAUCAUCGUAUUAUCAGCGGCUGUGCUGAUAUUCUGCAGGAAGAGGGCCAGUAAACCCAAAGGUGAGACUGCAGGAAACACACAAAUACAAAAAAGGCAACUGAGCAUCAAAAACUAAAUUUUCUCGCAAAUGUCUCGCCUCUACCAGCUUUCACAUGUGACUACAAAUAAGAAAAAAAAAAAAAACAAAACUUGUUAGUGUUCUAACAACCAACGUUAGUAGUAGUUAGGUAAGUU